UACAGAGGGGGCAAGCGUUGUUCGGAAUUACUGGGCGUAAAGGGCGCGUAGGCGGCCUGUUAAGUCGAACGUGAAAUCCCCGGGCUCAACCCGGGAACUGCGUCCGAUACUGGCAGGCUUGAAUCCGGGAGAGGGAUGCGGAAUUCCAGGUGUAGCGGUGAAAUGCGUAGAUAUCUGGAGGAACACCGGUGGCGAAGGCGGGUCUCUGGGCCGAUACUGACGCUGAGGAGCGAAAGCGUGGGGAGCGAACAGG
rnacentral:rRNA from 1 species